AACGCACAUUGCGCCCCCUGGUAUUCCGGGGGGCAUGCCUGUCCGAGCGUCAUUGCUGUCCAUCAAGCACGGCUUGUGUGUUGGGCCGCCGUCCCCCCUUCCCGGGGGGGACGGGCCCGAAAGGCAGCGGCGGCACCGUGUCCGGUCCUCGAGCGUAUGGGGCUUUGUCACCCGCUCCGUAGGCCCGGCCGGCGCCCGCCGACCCCUCAACUUCUUAACCAGGUUGACCUCGGAUCAGGUAGGGAUACCCGCUGAACUUAA
rnacentral:misc_RNA from 1 species